AACACCCUCGUACUUAAAUGUAUGUUUCAAAAACCGUCAAAAGUACACAGUGGAAUAGAAUUAAGUUUCCAUCAUUUGAUGUUUCUGUUUCGCGUUGGAUUGCCUUCAGAGUGCACAACGUGUUUACAAACACAUCACAGCUCAGCAGCAGCGCCAGGACCCAAGAACCAGAACCAGAACCCGAGCCCGAGACCGAGCUUGAACCCAAAUCUGAAUCCGAAACAGACGGUUUUCUACCUGUGCGAAUGCCUGUGCCUCAAUUGUAGAGGGUUUGAGGCCCAUCUGGUACCGUUAAGCGUGCAGAGCGGUCAAAGGGCAUGGGCAUCAUUGACGGGGCCUGAGAUUGUUCCUGGGACGUGGGACCAGGACGCAGCAGGACAUCGCAGGUUGGUCGGUCUUCUCAUCAUUGCACUUGGCAGGCGAUUCAUUUUUCGUGUCGACUGCGGUCAGUACACUCACUUCCUGCUCCUCCCAGGACAUUGGCCCUAAUCUCCUGUCCCUCUCCAUCUUUCGACCGUUUCGGGGAGCGUCGAAUGCUGUUCAAUGAAGAGCGUUGAUGAGCGAAAAUUGCUUAGCUCACGGCUCUUCCGCACCAUGUCGGAAGGGCCGAGGGUUCCCUUCUAAUUACUGACGGCAAAAUCAAAAAAAAAAA
rnacentral:sRNA from 1 species